GAUGAACGCUGGCGGCGUGCUUAACACAUGCAAGUCGAACGAUGAAGCUGGAGCUUGCUCUGGUGGAUUAGUGGCGAACGGGUGAGUAACACGUGAGCAACCUGCCCCUGACUCUGGGAUAACAGCCGGAAACGGCUGCUAAUACCGGAUAUGCACCAUGAACGCAUGUUCUGUGGUGGGAAAGAUUUUUCGGUUGGGGAUGGGCUCGCGGCCUAUCAGCUUGUUGGUGAGGUAAUGGCUCACCAAGGCGUCGACGGGUAGCCGGCCUGAGAGGGUGACCGGCCACACUGGGACUGAGACACGGCCCAGACUCCUACGGGAGGCAGCAGUGGGGAAUAUUGCACAAUGGGCGAAAGCCUGAUGCAGCAACGCCGCGUGAGGGAUGACGGCCUUCGGGUUGGAAACCUCUUUUAGCAGGGAAGAAGCGAGAGUGACGGUACCUGCAGAAAAAGCGCCGGCUAACUACGUG
rnacentral:rRNA from 1 species